UCAAAACAGAAAACACAAACGCAAACCACCUGCACCCUAAUCUUCCAAAGCGAGUAACAUGGACUUUAAAAUUCUUUCAAACCAUUCGGAGUGGGUUCUCAUCAAAAGGGAGAAGAAUCGAAAGCUAAGCGGGCGUCUAAAACUGAGUCUGUGUGAAAAAAUAAACAGGCACACACUAAUCAACAAACAAGCUUUCAACCGAAAUGAAAUUGUUUAUCAACAAACUGUACAAAUGCUGCCUACAACAAAGUUCAAAGGGUAUGAACCUACCCUAAUCAAAAAUUUCCCCAUAAGACAUCAAAUAUCAAUGUCAAUGUCAAUGAUUUUACAGUUAUUAUCCUAGAUUCUGAAUCAAUGUCUUCCACAUAUUAACCUAAAGUAUGGAAAAUGGGGACGCGAUUAACUGCUAAGAUUGGUAAACUACACAAUAGAAACGAAUUAAGGUAACUCCUCUAAUCCAGAGACUUCUGAACUUACGCUACUCGCAAGUCUGUUUCUCCAAUCCCUUUGAUUUUCCUUCUAUGUACUGUACAUGGUAAUUUUAACUGUAUGUAUUUACGGCUAGAAUCGCUGCCUACUUGUGCUGCUANNNNN
rnacentral:lncRNA from 1 species